UUUACGGAGAGUUUGAUUCUGGCUCAGAACGAACGCUGGCGGCGUGUUUAAGACAUGCAAGUCGAACGGAUUGAAGUUGUAGCAAUACCGCUUCAGUCAGUGGCGCACGGGUGCGUAACACGUGAGUUACAUGCCCUGCAGUGGGGAAUAGCCCGCCGAAAGGCGGAUUAAUACUCCAUGGUUCCCGCAAGGGUAAAGGUGGCCGCAAGGCUGCCGCUGCAGGAUUGGCUCGCGGCCUAUCAGCUAGUUGGUGAGGUAACGGCUCACCAAGGCUACGACGGGUACCUGGUCUGAGAGGAUGAUCAGGCACACUGGAACUGAGACACGGUCCAGACACCUACGGGUGGCAGCAGUCGAGAAUAAUUCACAAUGGGGGAAACCCUGAUGGUGCAACGCCGCGUGGAGGAUGAAGGUCUUCGGAUUGUAAACUCCUGUCAUCUGGGAGUAAGACCUGACGGUAAAUAGCCGGCAGGGUUGAUAGUACCAGAAGAGGAAGGGACGGCUAACUUCGUGCCAGCAGCCGCGGUAAUACGAAGGUCCCGAGCGUUGUUCGGAAUCACUGGGCGUAAAGGGAGCGUAGGCGGCGUGGUAAGUCAGAUGUGAAA
rnacentral:rRNA from 1 species